rnacentral:rRNA from 1 species
GACGAACGCUGGCGGCGUGCUUAACACAUGCAAGUCGUACGGUAAGGCCCUUUUGGGGGUACACGAGUGGCGAACGGGUGAGUAACACGUGAGUAACUUGCCCACAACUUUGGGAUAACGCUAGGAAACUGGUGCUAAUUCCGGAUAUGUGCUCCUGCUGCAUGGUGGGGGUUGGUAAGCUCCGGCGGUUGUGGAUGGACUUGCGGCCUAUCAGCUUGUUGGUGGGGUAGUGGCCUACCAAGGCGGCGACGGGUAGCCGGACUGAGAGGGUGACCGGCCACAUUGGGACUGAGAGACGGCCCAGGCGCCUACGGGAGGCAGCAGGGGGGAAGAUUGCACAAGGGGCGCAAGCCUGAUGCAGCAGCGCCGCGGGCGGGAUGACGGCCUUCGGGUUGUAAACCGCUUUCAGCAGGGACGAAGCUUUUUGUGACGGUACCUGCAGAAGAAGCACCGGCUAACUACGUG